rnacentral:lncRNA from 1 species
GAGCCCCGCCGCACAAAUGGAGCGACCUGAGGCCCUCAAGCCGCCGCACCAAGGGCACAGGCGCAGAAACCACCUCGCAUUCUAAACUGAUCUGGGGGACGUCUAUUAGAGGAAUGAACAGUAUUUUACUAGCUCCUUCAAGUAUCGAAAUCCUCAGAGCUGAUAAUGACAUGGGGACGCUUGGAAUUCAUCUCUUCAGCUCUCGAGUUUAUCAUAUUCACAAAGGAUUCUUUUUUUCUGAACAGGCUGUGCAGCCAGCAAGGCCAAAGGAUUUGUAGGGCCACCAGGGAAGGGAAGCUUUUCAGGUGUCCUGUAAAGCAACAAAUUGGGGGCUAUCAGAAUGCCUUUUGCAGGGCGCAAUAGAGCACGCCUGUAUUCCGGUGACUCGGGAGGCUGAGGCAGGAGGACGGCUAAUUCGAGGCCAGCCCUUAGUAACGUUGAGACGUUGUCUUAAAAUAUAGCUGGGGAUGUAGCUCAGCGGCAAAGCGUCCCUAGGUCCAAUCCCCAGUACCAAAACAAAGUUAAAAAGGGAUGGAGAUGUGGCUCCGUGUAGAGCGCCCCUAGAGUUAGUUCCCCAAUUCCGUUAGAGGUCACAAAUCCCCUUUUCAGCCUGGAGCUGCGGGCCUACAUCCUAGUCCCUAGUCAGGGGGCUGAGGCAGGAUGGUGGCUUCAGGUCAGCAUAAAACAGGCAGACCCCAGCUCUGUCAUGUACUCAGAGCCUCUUCCUUCCUGCACCUUACGCCCACCUUAGGUCUUGCUCUGGAGUACUCUUCCUGAGACUGGGUAUAACAGCCUCGUGGAGCAUUCAAGAACAAGAAAGGCUGGGCAUGUGGCUCAAGUGGUAGCGCACUCACCUGGCAUGCACCGGGUGCUGGGUUCGAUCCUCAGCACCACAUACAAAUAAAAU